CAAUGAUUGUAGCAUGGUACUGUGCACGGAAACUAAAUCAUGGGCUUGAAAUGUCUGUGCCCUCUCUGAGUACUUAAUCGGUUCUUUGAUUUGCGGGCCUGGUUUAAACCCACAUUC
rfam:Brassica oleracea var. oleracea cultivar TO1000 chromosome C8, whole genome shotgun sequence